AGUGAACGCUGGCGGUAGGCCUAACACAUGCAAGUCGAACGGCAGCACAGUAAGAGCUUGCUCUUACGGGUGGCGAGUGGCGGACGGGUGAGGAAUACAUCGGAAUCUACUUUUUCGUGGGGGAUAACGUAGGGAAACUUACGCUAAUACAGCAUCCGCCCUACGGGUGAAAGCAGGGGAUCUUCGGACCUUGCGGGGAUGAAUGAGCCGAUGUGGGAUUAGCUAGUUGGCGGGGUAAAGGCCCACCAAGGCGACGGUCCGUAGCUGGUCGGAGUGGAUGAUCAGCCACACUGGAACUGAGACACGGUCCAGACUCCUACGGGAGGCAGCAGUGGGGAAUAUUAGACAAUGGGCGCAAGCCUUAUCCAGCCAUACCGCGUGGGUGAAGAAGGCCUUCGGGUUGUAAAGCCCUUUUGUUGGGAAAGAAAAGCAGCAGGUUAAUACCCCGCUGUUCUGACGGUACCCAAAGAAUAAGCACCGGCUAACUUCGUG
rnacentral:rRNA from 1 species